rnacentral:rRNA from 1 species
GAUGAACGCUAGCGACAGGCUUAACACAUGCCAGUCGAGGGGCAGCACAGGUAGCACUUCCGGGUGGCGACCGGCGCACGGGUGAGUAACGCGUAUGCAACUUACCUAUCAGAGGGGGAUAACUCGGCGAAAGUCGGACUAAUACCGCAUGAAGCCGGGGUCCCGCAUGGGGAUAUUUGCUAAAGACUCAUCGCUGGUAGAUAGGCAUGCGUUCCAUUAGGCAGUUGGCGGGGUAACGGCACACCAAACCGACGAUGGAUAGGGGUUCUGAGAGGAAGGUCCCCCACAUUGGUACUGAGACACGGACCAAACGCCUACGGGAGGCAGCAGUGAGGAAUAUUGGUCAAUGGCCGAGAGGCUGAACCAGCCAAGUCGCGUGAGGGAUGAAGGUUCUAUGGAUCGUAAACCUCUUUUAUAAGGGAAUAAAGGGCGGGACGUGUCCCGUUUUGUAUGUACCUUAUGAAUAAGGAUCGGCUAACUCCGUG